GAUGAACGCUGGCGGCGUGCCUAAUACAUGCAAGUCGAGCGAAUGGAUUAAGAGCUUGCUCUUAUGAAGUUAGCGGCGGACGGGUGAGUAACACGUGGGUAACCUGCCCAUAAGACUGGGAUAACUCCGGGAAACCGGGGCUAAUACCGGAUAACAUUUUGAACCGCAUGGUUCGAAAUUGAAAGGCGGCUUCGGCUGUCACUUAUGGAUGGACCCGCGUCGCAUUAGCUAGUUGGUGAGGUAACGGCACACCAAGGCAACGAUGCGUAGCCGACAUGAGAGGGUGAUCGGGCACACUGGGACUGAGACACGGCCCAGACUCCUACGGGAGGCAGCAGUGGGGAAUUUUGCGGAAUGGACGAGAGUCUGACGCAGCAACGCCGCGUGGGUGAUGAAGGUCUUCGGACUGUAAAACCCUGUCGUCAGGGACGAAGGUGGCAGUGUUAAUAGCGCUGUUACUUGACGGUACCUGGAGAGGAAGCCCCGGCUAACUCUGUGCCAGCCGCCGCAGUAA
rnacentral:rRNA from 1 species